GUAGCAGCAAAGAAACAGGACAAAUGGACCCUUGCAGCAUCGAUUUGUAACUGACUUGAAUAAUACAUCAAAUGUCUGUCACUUCAUCACAGGAGCCUGGAGAUUCAAACACCUGAGACCUUGGAUUCCUAGCUUCAAGGAUACAUAGGGAAGAAUUGGACCUGAAUGAAGGAUACCUAAGACACAGGGCCCAAGAAGAAGGACGAGAGAAUCACUGCAUAAGAGAAUCAAGGUGGGGAAGAGAUCUAAGGACAUUCUACCAGGGAAUUUCAAUACCUGAAGACAGGUGUCUAUGAUAAGGAGAAAUUGGAAAAUGUGUGUAAUGAAAUUUGAG
rnacentral:lncRNA from 1 species